UACGUAGGUGGCAAGCGUUGUCCGGAUUUAUUGGGCGUAAAGAGCUCGUAGGCGGUGUGUCACGUCGGCCGUGAAAACCUGGGGCUUAACUCUGGGCGUGCGGUCGAUACGGGCAUCACUAGAGUUCGGCAGGGGAGACUGGAAUUCCUGGUGUAGCGGUGAAAUGCGCAGAUAUCAGGAGGAACACCGGUGGCGAAGGCGGGUCUCUGGGCCGAUACUGACGCUGAGGAGCGAAAGCAUGGGUAGCGAACAGG
rnacentral:rRNA from 1 species